CCUACGGGUGGCAGCAGUGGGGAAUAUUGCACAAUGGGGGAAACCCUGAUGCAGCGACGCCGCGUGAGUGAAGAAGUCUUUCGGUAUUUAAAGCUCUAUCAGCAGGGAAGAAAUAUCUACCUUUUGGUCGCCAUCCGGUACCUUAUUAAGAAGCCCCGGCUACCUACGUGCCAGCAGCCCCGGUAAUACGUAGGGGGCCAGCGUUAUCCGGAUUUACUGGGUGUAAAGGGGGCGUAGACGGCAGCGCAAGUCUGAAGUGAAAUGCCGGGGCUUAACCCCGGAACUGCUUUGGAAACUGUGAAGCUAGAGUGCAGGAGAGGUAAGUGGAAUUCCUAGUGUAGCGGUGAAAUGCGUAGAUAUUAGGAGGAACACCAGUGGCGAAGGCGGCUUACUGGACUGUAACUGACGUUGAGGCUCGAAAGCGUGGGGAGCAAACAGGAUUAGAUACCCUUGUAGUC
rnacentral:rRNA from 1 species